rnacentral:rRNA from 1 species
UACGUAGGGCGCAAGCGUUAUCCGGAAUUAUUGGGCGUAAAGAGCUCGUAGGCGGUUUGUCGCGUCUGCCGUGAAAGUCCGGGGCUCAACUCCGGAUCUGCGGUGGGUACGGGCAGACUAGAGUGAUGUAGGGGAGACUGGAAUUCCUGGUGUAGCGGUGAAAUGCGCAGAUAUCAGGAGGAACACCGAUGGCGAAGGCAGGUCUCUGGGCAUUAACUGACGCUGAGGAGCGAAAGCGUGGGGGAGCGAACAGG